UUGUAAAGUGGCGCACGGGUGAGUAACACGUGGGUAAUCUGCCCUUGAGUUUGGGAUAACCCCGCGAAAGCGGGGCUAAUACCGAAUAAGACCACGGAGACCAAAGUCUCUGAGGUAAAAGGUGGCCUCUAUUUAUAAGCUACCACUUGAGGAUGAGCCCGCGGCCCAUUAGCUAGUUGGCGGGGUAAUGGCCCACCAAGGCUAUGAUGGGUAGCUGGUCUGAGAGGACGAUCAGCCACACUGGAACUGAGACACGGUCCAGACUCCUACGGGAGGCAGCAGUGGGGAAUAUUGCGCAAUGGGCGAAAGCCUGACGCAGCAACGCCGCGUGGGGGAUGAAGGUUUUCGGAUUGUAAACCCCUUUCGAUCGGAACGAAUCUCCUCUUGGUAAACAAUCAGGAGGAUCGACGGUACCGAGAGAAGAAGCCACGGCUAACUCUGUGCCAGCAGCCGCGGUAAGACAGAGGUGGCGAGCGUUGUUCGGAUUUAUUGGGCGUAAAGCGAACGCAGGUGGUUUGGUAAGUCAGGGGUGAAAGUCCGCAGCUUAACUGCGGCACUGCCUUUGAUACUGCCUUUCUUGAGUGCAUGAGGGGGAAGCGGAAUUCCGAGUGUAGAGGUGAAAUUCGUAGAUAUUCGGAGGAACACCGGUGGCGAAGGCGGCUUCCUGGCAUGUAACUGACACUCAUGUUCGAAAGCGUGGGUAGCAAACAGGAUUAGAUACCCUGGUAGUCCACGCCCUAAACGAUGGGCACUAGGUGUGGGAGGUAUCGACCCUUUCCGUGCCGCAGCUAACGCAUUAAGUGCCCCGCCUGGGGAGUACGGCCGCAAGGUUGAAACUCAAAGGAAUUGACGGGGGCCCGCACAAGCGGUGGUGCAUGUGGUUUAAUUCGACGCA
rnacentral:rRNA from 1 species